rnacentral:rRNA from 1 species
GUGAGGUAACGGCUCACCAAGGCAAUGACGGGUAGCCGGCCUGAGAGGGCGACCGGCCACACUGGAACUGAGAUACGGUCCAGACUCCUACGGGAGGCAGCAGUGGGGAAUAUUGGGCAAUGGGAGAAAUCCUGACCCAGCGACGCCGCGUGAACGAAGAAGGCCCUUGGGUCGUAAAUUCUUUUGCGCGGGAAGAAGAAAGUGACGGUACCGCGCGAAUAAGCCCCGGCUAAAUACGUGCCAGCAGCCGCGGUAAUACGUAGGGGGCGAGCGUUGUCCGGAAUUACUGGGCGUAAAGGGCACGCAGGCUGUGCCGUAAGUCGGCUGUAAAAAGAUGCGGCUUAACCGCGUUGCGCAGUCGAAACUGCGGUGCUAGAGUACCGGAGAGGCAAGUGGAAUUCCCAGUGUAGCGGUGAAAUGCGUAGAUAUUGGGAAGAACAUCGGUGGCGAAGGCGACUUGCUGGUCGGUAACUGACGCUCUUGUGCGAAAGCCAGGGGAGCAAACGGGAUUAGAUACCCCGGUAGUCCUGGCGGUAAACGAUGAAUGCUGGGUGUGCGAGUAGAGAUACUGGUGUGCCGUAGUUAACGCGAUAAGCAUUCCGCCUGGGGAGUACGGUCGCAAGAUUGAAACUCAAAGGAAUUGACGGGGGCCCGCACAAGCGGUGGAGCACGUGGUUUAAUUCGAUGCAAA